rnacentral:rRNA from 1 species
UACGUAGGUGGCAAGCGUUGUCCGGAUUUACUGGGCGUAAAGAGCGCGCAGGCGGUCGUUCAAGUCGCGUGUGAAAGCCCCCGGCUCAACUGGGGAGGGUCAUUCGAUACUGUUCGACUCGAAGGCAGGAGAGGGAAGUGGAAUUCCCGGUGUAGUGGUGAAAUGCGCAGAUAUCGGGAGGAACACCAAUGGCGAAGGCAGCUCGCUGGGACGUUACUGACGCUGAGACGCGAAAGCGUGGGGAGCAAACAGG